rnacentral:pre_miRNA from 1 species
UAGGUAGUUUCCUGUUGUUGGGGCUCCACCUUUCUCUCGACAGCAUGAUACUGCCUUCA